GGGAAACCUUAUAUUGGGAAAGCUCUAUUGUGACCACAGUGGUACAAUGCAUAUACAGGGGAAUCAUAACUAUUCUUGCAAGUUGAAAUUCAAGGAGCAAUCUAUCAUUGACCAAAAUCCUCACCAGGUACAUGGUUUAGUUCAAGAUAGAAAUGGAAAAACGAUAGCAAUACUAUUUGGAAAAUGGGAUGAGAGCAUGCAUUAUGUGGAUGGAAAUUGGUCUGGGAAGGGAAAAGGAUUGGAGUCUUGACCUGAUGCCCAAUUGCUUUGGAAGAGGAGCAAGCCACCCCAGUUUCCUACAAGAUAUAACUUGCCAUGCUUUGCCAUCACCAUGAAUGAACUCACCCUUGGAUUAAAGUUGCAGGAAAAGUUGUCCCCUAUAGAUUUAAGGCUCAGGCCUGAUCAAAGCUUGAGAGUCAGUUGGCUUCUAGGAAACCAGAAAUACUACUUCGGCUGGGGAAACCAGAAAAGCAUAUGUGGAUGCAAAGAGGCUGGGGACUUUCUACAAAGAGUUCUUAUGGAGAAAUACUACUUCGGCUGACAUAUAAAGCAUAUGUUAAGGAUGAAGAAGAUGAUAAAGCUGAGGCACAAUCCACUGACAUUGAUGCUUUGGAUUGUGAAAGAAGAAACAGAGUAUUAUAAAGAAGCAGAUAAUGAGUCAUUCAUGGAUGCCUUAGCUGCUUUAAUUACGAGUGAAGAAUUUCAAGGAAUAGUAGCAUCAGAAACCGGAACUACCAAAAUAUUGAAUAAUGCUUCAAGGGUAGAAUCAAAAAUAUCAAGAUCGCUUGGUCUUAAUGAUGAAUCCGCACCCCAAGAUUCAAACAAUAGUUCAGAACGUUUCCAAGGUAAUUCUCUGACAUUACUUUCAGUUAAAUGCUAGUUUGUAAGUUCAUUUUUUGUUUUUUGUUUUUUUGUUUUUUUAGGUUGUUAUGCAACAUCUAACAUUUGAUUGAAAUACUAGUUGGGAUGUAUUGUGGUCUAAAUAUUUCCUGACAGAGGAAUGUAAAAGGACAUAAACCGUAUCAGACAACUUGUCAGUACACAGCUUGUGUAUAUUUCUAUAUGUCUGCAUGCAAUGCUCUGCUUGUGCAAUUUCAAUACACACUAAUCAAAUAAUGAUGCAAUGAUUGCAGGCAAACACUUAAACUAAUAGAGGUGACUGCAAGCGAUAAGCUGGAGAGUUUUCGUGCAGUAAAAAAGGUCCUCAAGGGUCAUAUUGCACUUGGGAAUGCUCAAUUUCCUAAUGGAACCAACGGUAUUUUAUUUUAUUUUUUAAAUUAUGUAUUUCAUUUUAAGUGAAAUGUAUUGACUAUAUUCUUGUAAGAUUGUGUGAUACGAAGGUACAUGUUCAUUUUCCAACAGGUCAUGCCCUAGACAUUCUUGCUUGA